GCAUUAAUGGGGUAGUGGUAACCUGGGUCGUUGCCAUUAUUGGAUCUCGACCCGCCGGGGGUUCGAUUCCCCCUUAAUGCA